rnacentral:lncRNA from 1 species
AUAUUUAGGGGGACCGUGGCCCCUGCUCCCCCUGGAUCCACCCCUGAUUUCAUGCAUCAUAUAUAUACGAUGCAAUCUUAAGAAAAAAAGAAGAUCCAAUCACGUGGGAACAAUCAAACGUGCGUGUGAGAUUGUUCUGAAUGAAAUGCGAGCCUUAUAUGAGAGGUCCUGGAAAUGGGGGAAGGUCAGACAAGGAGGUCACCCUCCCUUGAGCAAGGAGUGCCUAUAAAAGGGGAAAGACUAGUUUUUGAUUUCGUCAUUGGAACUGCUCUAAGAUGCUUGGACUCGGUUUUUCCAAUCGUAGUGAAAUCAACUCUCUUGACAUCACCUUUGUUUUGUAAUUGAUUUUUUUCAGUGUAUUAUGAGAUAAGCCGAUAGAAAGAAGAAAAAAAAAAGGAAGAAAAUAAUAAAAAACUGAAAGUAAUAAAGAGAAAACUGAAAAGUGAAAGGAAAGGACAUAUUAAGUAAAUAAAGAAAUUAUUUGUUGUCUUUUUCCUUUAUUUUCUUUUCUCAAAUUCCAAAUACACGCAGAGGUUUUAUUUGCAUCAAGGAUUUAGGUAGAUAUUUAUGGAAGAAAAAGAAACGUAACAAAAAAGAUUAAAUUUGAGCUUUUAAAAUUAUUAUUUUUCCCUUUUCUUUUCUUUUAGGCUGUAUUCAGAUAAAUGAUUUGGUAAAAAAAUAAAAUAGAAAUGAAAAGGUUAAGACCAUCCAACCGUUCUGAACCAUUGGACCAUCUACAUUUUAUAUUUCUAUUUGUUUUUCACUCACCAAAUCCGUGAUCAAAGCACAACCUUACUUCGCUAAAUCUAUGAUCCAGAUUCCAAAUUUAAGAAGAUCCAAUUGAUUGGGACCAUUGGAUCAUUUAUCUUUUACAUUUCUAUUUUCUGUUCUCUCACCAAAUUCUUAAUUCAAACACACACCAACACCCAGCUUACUUCCAACAAAUCCAUGAUCCAGAUUCCAAACACAACGCACCUUAGGGCUCGUUUGGCUGGAGGAUUGGUGAGGAGUACUUUUAGAAGGGGGAUAAAUUUUUUAGAUGGAUAUACUUUGUAGGGGAUACCCUUUUAACUUUUGUUUUUGACUCUCUUUUUAGCCAUUGAGUUUCAUCAAGGUGGAAGGAUCAUAAUACACUAUAUAGAUAAAAUAAACCUAUAACUAUUUAUAUUAAAAUACUAUAUUUUAUUUCUCUCUCUAUAUAAAAAAAAUUAUAUAUUUUGGUUCUCUUUAUAAUAUUUUUUUUCUUAUCCCUCACCUCCUUAUUUCCGGAUAACUUUUAAUUAGGGUCUAGGCCACCUAAAAAUUAUCCGCCUCUACCCACCUCAGGGCAUAAAUUAUCCGCCUCCAUAUGCCAGCCAAACGCCGGAGGAAAAAAAUUAUAUGAAAAAAAGUUAUCCCCUCCAAAUCUGGUAGCCAAAUGACCCCUUAAAGUUUGAGAAUUAAAGGGCUCUACAGAUGCUAGUCUAUACAUACCCUAUGAUCAUGGGUGGGCGGACGGAAGUUUGGAUACUUAGCGGGCUUAGAACCAAGCUCGACACACCAAGAAUAAACUGGGCUGGGCCGUAACGAUCAUGUUGUCAUUGUCAUGACCUUUUGGGCAAGCCCAGUAUAAUGAACAACGGAUGACCACGUGAGUCACGUGACUAUCUUCUAUCUUGGAAUUCUAGACCCGAUUCAAGUGGGGUCUGCACCGUAUGCUUCAGUCCUCCAAAUUUCCAGACAGUAACGGCCCGUUUGGCAGCCGUAUAUAAUUUAGGUGGAUUUGAAAUGAGGGGGAUUUAAGGGUGGAUUUAAAGUAAGGGAUGAUUUAAUAAUAGGGGGGCCCACUUUUAAGAAUGGUAGAUUUGUAGUUUGGUGUUGGAUGUUUUUUAAGAAAGGAGAUUUUUAGAAGUUGGAUUGAUGGGAUAAAUGUUAAAAGACAAAAUUAGCCCCACUUCAUGUAAUUUAAUUUUAAUGUUAAAUAAUGCAUUUCGUUUUAUUAUAUAAAAUAUAAUUAAUUAAUAUUUAGAUGAUUAAAAUAAAAUUUUUUAACUUUAAAUAUUAAUAUAUAAUUUUUUAAAAUAUCAUCAUUCAAUUUUUAUUUUGAUUAAAUUAUUUUAAAUUAUUAUAUAAUAAUAUAUUAGGCAAAAAUUCAAUUGGUGGGCAAAUCCUUUGGUCAUCCUUCGCAUUUCCUCUAAGUUUUCGUAAUUAUAAAUUAAUAAACCAAAGAAAAUGUAUACCAUAAUUUAAAUUUCUACCAAAAUUCAGUAUACUCCCCAAAAAACAUUGGUUUCCCGAAUUUUUUAGUACCCGAUUUUUGUGAAAUUCAAAUAAAUAACUAAAUAAAUCACCAUUUUAAAUAAAAAAGAAAAUUUAAAUAGUAUAUAUAAUUUAGAAAUUAUUUUUUUUUAGAGUUCAAUUGGAGGGAAUUUAUUAGAAUUUUUAAACUUUAGGGGAAUAUAUUAUAGUUUGCUUAAUGUUAAUGUCUCUUUGUAUUUAACCUAUAACCUCAGGGAGGUCA